GAUGAACGCUGGCGGCGUGCCUAAUACAUGCAAGUCGAGCGAACGGACGAGAAGCUUGCUUCUCUGAUGUUAGCGGCGGACGGGUGUGUAACGCGUGGAUAACCUACCUAUAAGACUGGGAUAACUUCGGGAAACCGUAGCUAAUACCGGAUAAUAUUUUGAACCGCAUGGUUCAAUAGUGAAAGACGGUCUUGCUGUCACUUAUAGAUGGAUCCGCGCUGCAUUAGCUAGUUGGUAAGGUAACGGCUUACCAAGGCAACGAUGCAUAGCCGACCUGAGAGGGGGAUAGGCCACAUUGGAGCUGAGACGCGGUCCAGACUCCUACGGGAGGCAGCAGUAGGGAAUCGGCCGCAAUGGGCGAAAGCCUGACGGAGCAACGCCGCGUGAGAGAUAAAGGUCUUCGGAUCGUAAUACUCUGUUAUUAGGGAAGAACAUAUGUGUAAGUAACUGUGCACAGCUUGACGGUACCUAAUCAGAAAGCCACGGCUAACUACGUG
rnacentral:rRNA from 1 species